rnacentral:tRNA from 1 species
GCACCGUUCGUCUAGCGGUCUAGGACGUCGCCCUUUCACGGCGAAAACACGGGUUCGAGUCCCGUACGGUGUA